AUAUUAUAAUAAGAAAAAGUAGCUUUUUUUUUUAACAUUUCUGGUUACUACGAAAGAAGAUAUCCUGUAAUGUUCAGAGAAAAUCGUGAGAUCCAAGGGAAAGAAGUGGAUUAUUAUUAGUAUUUAAAGAGUUUGAAGUAUAAAAAAUGGAUAAUUCCACUACAAGAAUGAAAAAAUAUAAAAGAAAAAUAGCCUGAUCUAGUAGAAAGUAUAUACCCAAGGAUUAAUCACUUCUUCAAUCUCCAUUUGUUAUAUAGAGACAAAAAUGUUUCAGUGGAAGUUUAAGAAGGAAAAAAGGAAUUCUCAUGUCAAACUGAUCCAAGUGAUCUGGAAGAUGAUAUCUUUUUAUUUUCAUCAGUAAUUUCAUAGACCAUAGUGCCGAGGGAGUGUGUGAUUUUAAAAUUACUGCCAUAGGAUAUAAAUAAGUGAUAUGUAAAAUCUAUGCAGUAUUUGAUAAUAACACAAGGCAAUAUCGAUCAAUUUCAACAUAAAUAGUUUAAUUUCUCCAAAAGCAAUGCCGUCUAAGCGCCGAAAUUUUAGUUCCUCGAAUAUAAGAGUUUUUCUGAGUCCUUUGACUGAUAUAGAUUGGUCAGUAUUAUAUGACAACAAUAGACAAAAUGUAGAAGACAUGUGGUCCUGUUUUUCGUCAAUUUUCAAUGGAGUAUUUGCUGAUGCCUUUCCUACAGUCUCCUUUCGAGCUUCCUCUGGUAGGUUGAAUUUUUGCAAUUCUGAUCCUCAGGUGUUGAAAAUCAAACGACAAUUAGAUAUACUCUAUAGAAUGUCACGGGUUGACCCUCUGUACUUAGAUCAGUACAGAGUUGCAAAGAAGCAAUAUGACAGGCGGAUCACACAGCUCAAACUGGCUCAUUAUAGGAGUCUUAUUAAGAACUCUUCAAACAAGUCAAAAAUGACAUGGAGCAUUGUCAGAGAUCUCACUGGCAAACGUCAUACAGAGUAUGACCAUUUUCCUGCAGGCAAUCCAGAAGAUGUUGCAAAUAAGUUCAAUCAAUUUUUUUCUGCUUGUGGUACAAGCUGUGAACUUUCUGGGGAGGGAAAUACUUGUGGUGUACAGAGAAAUGAAAGCUCUUUUUAUGUGUUCCAGGUGACAGCUCGAGAAUUACUAUCAAUGGUUAUUAAAAUGAAGAAUUCUUCUUCAUGUGGUUUCGACGGUAUUUCUAUGAAAAUAGUAAAAAAAAUGUAUUCAUAUAAUAGCAGAACCCUUGAGCUUUAUAAUUAAUUGUUCAUUUGUUGAGGGAAUAUUUCCAGAUGGCAAUUAUUAAACCGUUACUUAAAAAAGGCUCUAAAGCUGAUUUUGGCAAUUAUAGGCCCAUAAGCCUGUUAGCUACUUUCUCAAAGGUGAGUGAAAAGAUACUUUGUAUCCGUCUUGUGUCCUUUUUCAGAAAGUUCAAAAUCUUUAAUGCAUCUCAGCAUGGAUUUAUAUCUAAUAAAUCUACGGAAACUGCGAUUUUCGAUCUAUUGCGAAAAAUUACUGAGGUCUUGGAUGGAGGAGAUAUUCCUCUGGGUGUGUUUCUCGACUUGUCCAAAGCAUUUGACAGUGUUAACCACCGAAAACUGCUGGACAAGCUUGAGCAUUAUGGAAUACGUGAUAGGCAAUUGGACCUUAUAAGAAGCUACCUGACCAAUAGAGUU